rnacentral:rRNA from 1 species
UACGAAGGGGGCUAGCGUUGCUCGGAAUCACUGGGCGUAAAGGGUGCGUAGGCGGGUCUUUUAAGUCAGGGGUGAAAUCUUGGAGCUCAACUCCAGAACUGCCUUUGAUACUGAAGAUCUUGAGUUCGGGAGAGGUGAGUGGAACUGCGAGUGUAGAGGUGAAAAUUCGUAGAUAUUCGCAAGAACACCAGUGGCGAAGGCGGCUCACUGGCCCGAUACUGACGCUGAGGCACGAAAGCGUGGGGAGCAACAGG